rnacentral:tRNA from 1 species
UUCCUGGGGGUCCAGUGGCUAAGACUCCACGCUCCCAGUGUGGGGGCCUGGGUUCGAUCCCUGGUCGGGGAA